rnacentral:rRNA from 1 species
CGUGUAGGCGGCCAGGUAGGUCCGUUGUGAAAACUGGAGGCUUAACCCCCAGCCGUCGACGGAAACCAUCUGGCUAGAGUCCGGAAGAGGAGAGUGGAAUUCCUGGUGUAGCGGUGAAAUGCGCAGAUAUCAGGAAGAACACCCGUGGCGAAGGCGGCUCUCUGGGACGGUACUGACGCUGAGACGCGAAAGCGUGGGGAGCGAACA